GACGUAGGGCGCAAGCGUUGUCCGGAUUUAUUGGGCGUAAAGAGCUCGUAGGCGGCUUGUUGCGUCGUCCGUGAAAACCCGUGGCUCAACUGCGGGCUUGCGGACGAUACGGGCAGGCUGGAGUUCGGUAGGGGAGACUGGAAUUCCUGGUGUAGCGGUGAAAUGCGCAGAUAUCAGGAGGAACACCGGUGGCGAAGGCGGGUCUCUGGGCCGAUACUGACGCUGAGGAGCGAAAGCGUGGAGAGCAAACAGG
rnacentral:rRNA from 1 species